rnacentral:rRNA from 1 species
GCCUACGGGACGCAGCAGUGAGGAAUAUUGGUCAAUGGGCGGGAGCCUGAACCAGCCAAGCCGCGUGAGGGAAGAAGGUACAGCGUAUCGUAAACCUCUUUUGUCAGGGAACAAAGGCGGGGACUAGUCCCCGGAUGAGGGUAUCUGAAGAAAAAGCAUCGGCUAACUCCGUGCCAGCAGCCGCGGUAAUACGGAGGAUGCGAGCGUUAUCCGGAUUUAUUGGGUUUAAAGGGUGCGCAGGCGGGAGAUCAAGUCAGCGGUAAAAUGUCGGGGCUCAACCCCGGCCGGCCGGUGAAACUGGGUUU